AUUGAACGCUGGCGGCAUGCUUUACACAUGCAAGUCGAACGGCAGCGCGGGCUUCGGCCUGGCGGCGAGUGGCGAACGGGUGAGUAAUACAUCGGAACGUGCCCAGUCGUGGGGGAUAGCUUGGCGAAAGCCGGAUUAAUACCGCAUACGACCUGAGGGUGAAAGCGGGGGAUCUUCGGACCUCGCGCUAUUGGAGCGGACGAUGGCAGAUUAGCUAGUUGGUGGGGUAAAGGCCUACCAAGGCGACGAUCUGUAGCUGGUCUGAGAGGACGACCAGCCACACUGGAACUGAGACACGGCCCAGACUCCUACGGGAGGCAGCAGUGGGGAAUUUUGGACAAUGGGCGAAAGCCUGAUCCAGCAAUGCCGCGUGUGUGAUGAAGGCCUUCGGGUUGUAAAGCACUUUUGGCGGGAACGAAAAGGACUGUGCCAAUACCACGGUUCGAUGACGGUACCCGCAGAAUAAGCACCGGCUAACUACGUG
rnacentral:rRNA from 1 species